AGAAAUCAGUUCAGCACUAAGUCACUUUGUCUAUAUGGCAAAUGUGAGAUGCAGUGUAUGGAGCGUCAAUAUUCUAGUAUGAGAAAUUAACGAUUUAAGUCCUUCUUAAAUGAGGCCAUUUACCCAUAGAGGGUGCCAGGCCCGUAUAACGUUAAUGAUUACUAGAUGAUGUUUCCAAAGAGUCGUGUUGCUUGAUAGUGCAGCACUAAGUGGGUGGUAAACUCCAUCUAAAACUAAAUAUAACCAUGAGACCGAUAGUAAACAAGUACCGUGAGGGAAAGUUGAAAAGAACUCUGAAUAGAGAGUUAAACAGUACGUGAAACUGCUUAGAGGUUAAGCCCGAUGAACCUGAAUAUCCGUUAUGGAAAAUUCAUCAUUAAAGUUGUAAUAUUUUAACAAUAUUAUAAUAAUAGUGUGCAUUUUUUCCAUAUAAGGACAUUGUAAUUUAUUAGCAUAUACCAAAUUUAUCAUAAAAUAUGGCUUAUAGUUUAUUCAAAUUAUUAUGCUUGCAUUUUAACAUAGAAUAAAUGUCAUUAAUUUGAUAAAGUGUUGAUAAAUUAAAAUUAAUACAGUGCGUUAAUUUUUCGAAAUUAUAUAAUGGCAUAAUAAUCAUCGAUUUUUGUGUUUAUUAUAUGCAUUUGUAUGAUUAA
rnacentral:rRNA from 1 species